AAAAUAAAGUCAGCGACGUUGAAAAGGAAAAGACAGCAAAAAAGCCUGGAGGAAAACAUACUCUGCGGUGCAAAAGCCCCUUCGAAUGCCUACCACGAUGAAAGGAACAAAGAAGGAGAGAACAAUUAAUAAAAAGUCACUAAGUGUAACAUUCGACAUUUUGAGUGAUGCACACAGAGUUUAAAAAAGGUAAAAAAGUGUUAAAGUAAGAAAAGAAGCAAAUAAUGAUUCAGUUGGUGGAUUUUUUUAAAACCGACGAGAUAUAUUUGAAAACCCAAAAAAUCAGAAAACAGAACGAUCCAAGAACAACGAAAUCCGUUUACUUAAGAUCCAAAAAGGCUUUAAAGUAGGUUCAGUUAGUAAACGUUGUUAAUUGCUUUUAUAGGUAUGUUGCUGGUAAAAGACAAGUAUGGUGAAUGACGAAAUUCAGCCUCACUGAGUGCCAAGCCAACACAGAUGUAAACAAAAGGCGUAAAGAACGAAGAAAACAUAGUGCACAAGACAAUUGAGAUAAUA